rnacentral:rRNA from 1 species
UGGGGAAUAUUGCACAAUGGGCGCAAGCCUGAUGCAGCCAUGCCGCGUGUGUGAAGAAGGCCUUCGGGUUGUAAAGCACUUUCAGCGGGGAGGAAGGCGAUAAGGUUAAUAACCUUGUCGAUUGACGUUACCCGCAGAAGAAGCACCGGCUAACUCCGUGCCAGCAGCCGCGGUAAUACGGAGGGUGCAAGCGUUAAUCGGAAUUACUGGGCGUAAAGCGCACGCAGGCGGUCUGUCAAGUCGGAUGUGAAAUCCCCGGGCUCAACCUGGGGACUGCAUUCGAAACUGGCAGGCUAGAGUCUUGUAGAGGGGGGUAGAAUUCCAGGUGUAGCGGUGAAAUGCGUAGAGAUCUGGGGGAAUACCGGUGGCGAAGGCGGCCCCCUGGACAAAGACUGACGCUCAGGUGCGAAAGCGUGGGGAGCAAACAGG